rfam:Serratia proteamaculans 568, complete genome.
UGUGCAUGAAUAGUGAGCGGUCAGAUAAAAAGUGAAUAUAAACCCUUGUCAUUCUGAACCAGCUCCCUAUAAUGCGCCUCCAUCGACACGGAACAUGUGAACAACUUCACAGAGUCUCCGGGGUUCGAAGAGAAAAAAUCCUGAAAUUUAGGGGUUGACUCUGAAAGAGGAAAGCGUAAUAUACGCCACCUCGAGAUAGCAAGCUACGGCGGCUAACUCACUGCUCUUUAACAAUUUAUCAGAC